CGCGUAGGCGGUCGUGUGCGUCGGAGGUGAAAUCCCCGGGCUUAACCCGGGAGCUGCCUCCGAUACGGCAUGGCUUGAGUCCGGGAGAGGGGAGCAGAAUUCCCAGUGUAGCGGUGAAAUGCGUAGAUAUUGGGAGGAAUACCGGUGGCGAAGGCGGCUCCCUGGACCGGUUCUGACGCUGAGGCGCGAAAGCGUGGGUAGCAAACAGGAUUAGAUACCCUGGUAGUCCACGCCGUAAACGAUGGGUGCUUGGUGUCGGGGGUAUCGACCCCUCCGGUGCCGAAGCUAACGCAUUAAGCACCCCGCCUGGGAGUACGGUCGCAAGGCUGAA
rnacentral:rRNA from 1 species